rnacentral:rRNA from 1 species
UACGUAGGUGGCAAGCGUUGUCCGGAAUUAUUGGGCGUAAAGCGCGCGCAGGCGGUCCUUUAAGUCUGAUGUGAAAGCCCACGGCUCAACCGUGGAGGGUCAUUGGAAACUGGGGGACUUGAGUGCAGAAGAGGAGAGUGGAAUUCCACGUGUAGCGGUGAAAUGCGUAGAGAUGUGGAGGAACACCAGUGGCGAAGGCGACUCUCUGGUCUGUAACUGACGCUGAGGCGCGGAAGCGUGGGGAGCAAACAGG